GGCGGACGGGUGAGUAACGCGUGGGGAACCUGCCUCAUACAGGGGGAUAACAGUUGGAAACGACUGUUAAUACCGCAUAAGACCACAGAGUCGCAUGACUCAGGGGUAAAAACUCCGGUGGUAUGAGAUGGACCCGCGUUCGAUUAGCCAGUUGGCGGGGUAACGGCCCACCAAAGCGACGAUCGAUAGCCGAUUUGAGAGAAUGACCGGCCACAUUGGGACUGAGACACGGCCCAAACUCC
rnacentral:rRNA from 1 species